rnacentral:lncRNA from 1 species
UAAAGUCAUAAGUUGAUAUUAUUUCCAUUUUCUCCACAUUUUUCCAGGAUCUUGUACGAUUAUUGCACAUCCAUGGGAGAUUCAAGUUGGAGUCCAUGCAGGGAGCCAGCUUCAGGUCUGCCCCUAGCAAGGUAAGCCCUGGACCAUCAGCUCAACCCCUAUGGGUUCUUCAUCUGUAAAAAUGUAGGAAACAUCUAAAUUAUC